GACGAACCGUCCAACCGUUAUUCGGAAUCACUGGGCUUACAGAGUUCGUAGGCGGUCUGGAAAGUUGGGUGUGAAAUCUCCCGGCUCAACCGGGAGGGUGCGCCGAAUACUGAAUGACUUGGAGUGCGGGAGAGGUGAGUGGAAUUCCUGGUGUAGCGGUGAAAUGCGUAGAUAUCAGGAGGAACACCGGUGGUGUAGACGGCUCACUGGACCGUAACUGACGCUGGGACACGAAAGCGUGGGUAGCAAACAGG
rnacentral:rRNA from 1 species